AUUCUGAUAUUGACUGUAGUUCUGAGCUUUGUCUCUAUCCCACCAAACCACUAACUUCUGGAAAUUACUUGUAGACCAAGAUGGGAGGACUCCGUGUGUGGCUCCGUGAAUAUGAAUGACUUAUCGUGCCUGUCCAGAGUCAGGGAAAGGAGAAACAAUCUUAUUUGAGAAGGGAGGAUAUCACUGCAGUGGUUGUGAAAUCGUGUUUGGAAGCUAGAUUGCUCUAGACCACUAAGGUCUGUGUCUCCUCUUGGUCUUCACAGCUCUCUUCAUGUGACAAAGAAACUUCCUAAAAUACUAAAAGCUAAAGGAGAUUGUUAUCUAAGCUUGAGAUGGAAGGUUGCCAGCGGAAACUUGGAGGAUCACAGCCAGUCGCCUGGGAUUGACCACAGGGAGUGGCAGAGGCAGAAAGCAAAAGACCAGUUGCAAUUAUCCAGAAUCCUGAAUUGAGCCUGUGUUCCCAGUUCCUAGAAACCCUCAAGGUUAUUGGUUUCCUCCUCGCUUAAUAGACCAGUGGAAGAAAUCUACCUCCAGUUCUAUCUUCACAUGAGCAACUGUUUACAGUUUACAAUAUUACUCUGAAAAUCAGUUCUUUUCAAGUUUUAUCUAACACCCACCAGAAGAAACAGAAGAUUAUGAAAAUGGAAUUUGUCAAAGUUCCUCUCCCAACAAUAUGAUAUUUAAUUUUGCUAACAUUUUUUUUUGAACACUUACUAUAUUGCAGACAAUGGUCUAAGUAAAGCAUUUUAUGUGCAUCCU
ensembl:lncRNA LINC01844 long intergenic non-protein coding RNA 1844